rnacentral:rRNA from 1 species
UGCAUCUGGGAUAACACUUCGAAAGGGGUGCUAAUACCGGAUACACUCAUAUGCCGCAAGGUGUAUGAGGAAAGGAGACCUCUCCUUGGAAGUUUCUGUGUAGAGAUGAGCCUGCGUCCCAUUAGCUAGUUGGCAGGGUAAAGGCCUACCAAGGCUACGAUGGGUAGCGGGUCUGAGAGGAUGAUCCGCCACACUGGAACUGAAACACGGACCAGACUCCUACGGGAGGCAGCAGUGAGGAAUAUUGGACAAUGGGCGCAAGCCUGAUCCAGCGACGCCGCGUGAGUGAUGAAGGCCUUUGGGUCGUAAAGCUCUGUCAGCAGGGAAGAACGGCCGUGCGGUUAAUACCCGUGCGGAUUGACGGUACCUGCAGAGGAAGCACCGGCUAACUCCGUGCCAGCAGCCGCGGUAAUACGGAGGGUGCGAGCGUUAAUCGGAAUUACUGGGCGUAAAGGGCGCGUAGGCGGCCAAUCAAGUCAGAUGUGAAAGCCCACGGCUUAACCGUGUGAAGUGCAUCUGAAACUGGUAGGCUUGAGUAUCGGAGANGAAAGUGGAAUUCCCGGUGUAGAGGUGAAAUUCGUAAAU